GACGAACGCUGGCGGCGUGCUUAACACAUGCAAGUCGAACGGAAAGGCUCCAGCUUGCUGGAGUACUCGAGUGGCGAACGGGUGAGUAACACGUGGGUAAUCUGCCCUGCACUCUGGGAUAAGCCUGGGAAACUGGGUCUAAUACUGGAUAUGACCUUUCUCCUUAUGGGGUUUGGUGGAAAGUUUUUCGGUGUAGGAUGAGCCCGCGGCCUAUCAGCUUGUUGGUGGGGUGAUGGCCUACCAAGGCGACGACGGGUAGCCGGCCUGAGAGGGUGAUCGGCCACAUUGGGACUGAGAUACGGCCCAGACUCCUACGGGAGGCAGCAGUGGGGAAUAUUGCACAAUGGGCGGAAGCUUGAUGCAGCGACGCCGCGUGAGGGAUGACGGCCUUCGGGUUGUAAACCUCUUUCAGCAGGGACGAAGCGUAAGUGACGGUACCUGCAGAAGAAGCACCGGCUAACUAGGUG
rnacentral:rRNA from 1 species